CAAGAACAUUUCUUUCACAUCUUCUAGUAUCCAUAAGACCGAUUUGUUCAGAUGAAGCUGUACACGCGCAAAGGAACCGUCGUCGGGCAAUAAACAUUUUGCGUGGAAAACUCCCCAAUUUUAACAGUUUAACUGGUCGAAUGGACAUACUUCGAAGGAAAAUCUGUUUAAGAAGGAAGAUGGACAAACACUGUAAAAGCCAGUAAAAAGCAAGCUGUGAAGAACUGCAAGAUGUUCUCAGCAAUCUAUAACGAUAUCAUGGAAUCCAGUGAAGAAGAGUCAGGAUGAUCAAGUGCCAAGGUCAACAGAGCAGAUUUUAUAUAAUCUCACCUGCAACAAAGAGAUUUAAUGCACCAUAUCUCAAGCCAUAUCAUUAACUGACAAAUGCUCUAAUUAUUCUAUGAGGGCAGAGCAAUGGAGAUUUAGCGGGAGGGUAGGGGGAGGACUAAGCCGGGCAAUUAGGAAAAGCAAUCU